GGAUUAGAUACCCUGGUAGUCCACGCCGUAAACGAUGGAUACUAGCUGUAUGUCUACUUCAGGUAGAUGUGUGGCUAAGCGAAAGUGAUAAGUAUCCCACCUGGGGAGUACGAUCGCAAGAUUGAAACUCAAAGGAAUUGACGGGGGCCCGCACAAGCGGUGGAGCAUGUGGUUUAAUUCGAUAAUACGCGAGGAACCUUACCUAGGCUAGAAUGCGAGUGACAUCCAGAGAGAUCUGGAGUUCUUCGGACACAAAGCAAGGUGCUGCAUGGUUGUCGUCAGCUCGUGCCG
rnacentral:rRNA from 1 species